rnacentral:tRNA from 1 species
GCCCCUGUGGUGAAACGGAUAUCACGACAGGCUUCGGACCUGUUGUUAGAGGUUCAAAUCCUCUCGGGGGCA